GAUGAACGCUGGUGGCGUGCCUAAUACAUGCAAGUAGAACGCUGAAGGAGGAGCUUGCUCUUUCCGGAUGAGUUGCGAACGGGUGAGUAACGCGUAGGUAACCUGCCUGGUAGCGGGGGAUAACUAUUGGAAACGAUAGCUAAUACCGCAUAACAGUAGAUAUUGCAUGAUAUUUGCUUGAAAGGGGCAAUUGCUCCACUACCAGAUGGACCUGCGUUGUAUUAGCUAGUUGGUGAGGUAACGGCUCACCAAGGCGACGAUACAUAGCCGACCUGAGAGGGUGAUCGGCCACACUGGGACUGAGACACGGCCCAGACUCCUACGGGAGGCAGCAGUAGGGAAUCUUCGGCAAUGGACGGAAGUCUGACCGAGCAACGCCGCGUGAGUGAAGAAGGGUUUCGGAUCGUAAAGCUCUGUUGUAAGAGAAGAACGAGUGUGAGAGUGGAAAGUUCACACUGUGACGGUAUCUUACCAGAAAGGGACGGCUAACUACGUG
rnacentral:rRNA from 1 species